UUUUAAUAAAUUAAAUAUAUCGUCAUUUAAUCCAUUAUUGUUAUUUUAUAUGUAGAAAGAGACAAAGUUGAGCCAACGGAGAGUGAAAUAUUUUACUUGAACAGGUUGAAGUCAAUUAUUAGGCAGAUAUCAGAAUCCAGCGAAGCAGUUGAAGAUUCCUCUAAGUUUGAAGAAAUUACGGAUAAAGAACUUGUUUCGAGUUUGACACCGGCCAGCGUCGUGGAAAUACAUACUCCUGAAGCUAAAG